rnacentral:tRNA from 1 species
GGUCCGUUGGCCCAAUGGUAAGGCGUCUGACUACGAUACAGUAUGUAAUCAGGAGAUUCUGGGUUCGACCCCCAGGCGGACCU